UUUAAGGUCUGAUCUGCCCUAUGAGGAAUUAAAUGGCCGCGGUAUUUUGACCGUGCAAAGGUAGCAUAAUAAUUAGUUUUUUAAUUGAAAGCUAGAAUGAAUGAUUGGACGAGAAAAUAGCUGUCUCAAUUUAAUUUUAUUAGAAUUUUAUUUUUAAGUAAGAAAGCUUAAAUUAAGUUAAAAGACGAGAAGACCCUAUAGAGUUUUAUAAUUAAUUGAUUAUUAAUUUUUUAGAAUUAUUUUAUUAUUAUUUAAUUGGUUAUUUUAUUGGGGCGAUGGAAAAAUAUGAAUAACUUUUUUUUAAAAAAAAUUAUCAUUAAUUUAUGAUUUUUUGAUCCAUUAUUUAUGAUUAUAAGAUUAAAUUACCUUAGGGAUAACAGCGUUAUUUUUUUUUAGAGUUCUUAUCGAAAAAAGAGAUUGCGACCUCGAUGUUGGAUUAAAAU
rnacentral:rRNA from 1 species